UGAAACUUUCCUGUCUGCUCCCUGUUCUCAGCAGCUCAGGUUCUCCACUCUCAGACUCCUACAGACUUCAAGUGACUUUCUCACUCCCUUCUACUUGCAUACAGUUUCCAUGAGCAUGCCAGACUCAGCUGCUCCCUGGGAAGUAGGUCUCUUCAGUUGCCAGAUAUGUAUCUGAGUUAAUCCUUCUCCUGCAAGGCACAUAACAUGCAAAAUAAGAAGACACAAAGAUACCAUCUGUCCUAUUCCUGUCUCGCCCAGGACAAGAGAGGGAACAGUGACCCGUGCAGGGCUGAAAGGAAGUUUUCUGAGAAGACUAUGAAAUGGAAUAAUAUUUUGGAAACUGUGAUCCAGGGAAUGCCUUAAGAUGUGCUGCAUUUCUCCUGUGUCCCAAUGUAAUCCUGAAACCUUUGGUGCUUAAACUUAAGUGAGAGCAGUGGUCCUUGGGUGCCAAGUAAAGCAGACACUUUGCAAAGCCAUUUGUAAAAAAAGAUUCCUCAUGCUGGUAACUAUCAGGGUUGGAUUCAGUGACCUAGAGGGUGCUUGUCAAUCCCUCAGCUAAACAGAGACACUGCGGUGUAUUUUUCAAGAUAAUAAAGUGUGAAAUGUUCAUCAUAUGAAUUAAAAAACUAUCAGCUAUUUUAAUUUUACAGUUCAUAUUCUGUGACAUGGAGUUCAGAAAUCCAUGGCAAUGCUAACUUGGAACAUAAAAUGUCAUAUUAAAAAGUACUUCUUUCUUUCAUAGUUCAACCAAGAAAGGAACCAUGUACACUAACUUAAAUCCCUUCCCAACAGUUUACAUUUUUUUCAUCUGUUUUAGCUUCCUCAAUAUUUUUCGCCUGUAGAAAAAAAUCAGUUCUCUUAGGUGUUUGAAAACACAAAUAGGAAAGCAUUAUUUAUUUAUUUAUUAUGUUAUUAUUACAAUAUUUUCUUAGUAAAUAGUUGAAAUAUUUCCAGUGAAGAGAGCGCUUUUAGCAAUACACAGGAAUAUAACAGGAAGAAACAGAUUUAAAAGUGGAAGACAAGACUAAAAUAUGGACAAAUAAUUUGAAUUGUAUAUCAUUAUGCAAAGAUUCAGAUCUUUUUGUUGUUGUUGUCAUUUUUUUCCUUUUAUUUAAGACAGUAUAGCUACUUAACUUCUGUGUAGGCUGGUGUAUAUUUAGGUAUUUGGAAUACAGUCACUGGUGCAUAGGAGAAGCACAGAAUGGGGUUGAAUAAAAAAAUGCCUUAAGGCUAGCAUUUUUCAAAAGUACAUGUUUCUCCCUUAAUAAAGGCCUUCCUGAUAGACAACCACUCGAUGUUUUGCCAAUGUGACUUCGGGAUAACUAGGUUCAAGUAAAUCAUACCUUCAAGAACAGUAAGGCUGAAAGUCCACAUUUGUUUAUGCAAAACCACCUCCAUACUCCUUGUACAUUGCCAGAAAAACUAAACAACUAACUGAGAAGACUUGUCAGUGCAAAAGACCACCCUGUGUGUUUAAUGGUUCUGUUUUUUCUGAAUUCUAUAAACCUGUAGAAAGGUUUGAACAGAUGUUCAUUUCUGAACAUCUGAACACCUGUUCAUUUCUGCAUGGGUUUUCUUCUGUGAAUUGGCUUUUCUACAGGCCUGAAAACAGAGCUGAUAUUCAAGAUGCCCUGACUCCUAGUUUUGGCUCUUGCAGACUGAAUACCUUUGAGUAGGCUUGUUGAAUUACAGUGUUUAAAACAGGGCUCAUUAUUUUCACAGAAACAUUAUGGACACUACUAGUGCUUAUAACUACACUUUGAAGGCACAUGAUGCUGUAAAUUUGAGUUAUUGCUGCCUAACGCUUCUUAUAUUUCUAGCUAUUACACUUGCAUUAUAUGUCUGCAUACGUCUGUAGCUGGCUUGUCAUACUUAUUUAAUGCAUAAGCACAACAAAUAUGUUCUACCAUCAGCUCAGACAUAAAUAGUUGCAUACUUUCACGGUUUUUAAUCUGUUUGAAAUUACAGGGAUCAUUAUUAUCAUGUAAUUACAUUUAGCAUUCUGGUUAGGCUGCAUUACAUUUCAUUCUGAACUUCCUUACUUGGUUCACUCCAAUAUAAGUAUGGGCUGCUGUUGAGAGGACUGGUCUUGUACCAAGAUUGUUGGAGAGAAGUCGGUUUCCUAAGCUGAGUAGCUGUAUAAAUUGCUGCUGCUCAGACACAGAAAUGCCAGAAAUGCAAGGCUAGAGGAAGAAGAAAGGUGUUUUGUUUUUUUUUUUGAUAAAAUUCAAAUUUAUGUAGAAAUUAAAUAGAUGCUCUUAGUGUAAUCCCUCCUACAAUUAAAUAGUGGGGCACAUUCCAAAACUGACCAGACCAACUUACAUUACUCUGUCUUCAUAUUUGUAUCUUCAUAUCUUAAAAAAUCUUGAAAUUUCAAGUGCCUGUUGAUAUUAUAGUGUUUUUUUUUUUUUUUUCUGUCUGUGUACUAUGUGUAUAUGAUUACUGCAUUGAAUGAAGGAAUGUCACAUUUAUGUAUAUACCUUUUCUGGUAUAUUUGCAACCUUAAUGACUGUAUUGUCACAUGUUUGUUUGUGCUUCUUCCCAUACAUGUGUAAAUAUAAAUUUUGUACCUUUCCUGACUAUA